GUGGCUUCUUGGUAUAGAAGAAAUAUACAAAUCCAAUCUCGCUAACAGAAAGAAAAAAUGAAUCCAGUUGCCUGGUGGCCAGGGGCUCCUCUCCUUCCUCAAGCCUCUCCCGUUCAUGGUGACUUCUUAUGAUCUGACGAGCCUCGCGUGUUAUUCUCUCCUUCCGUGUGCCCCUAAUCUCGCUGUUUCUCUUUCUUCCCAAUAGCAACCAGGCGAGCUACAUGUUUGUACGAUUUAAACGCUGACAUGAAGAUAAUCAGUAGGCGUCGGUCACCCCAUACUAUGCUUCAGAUCGGUUCCUCACCUAAACACUACCAUCAUUAUGGGAAAACACUGAUGUGAUCUCCUUUCUGGGAAAAGAGAAAAAGUCAACCACGCACGGCAAGUAAAAUCCACCGGGUAAUGCCGAUCUCUAAUCAAGAUUCUAGAUCGCCAUCUCUCUGGAGCAUGUAUUGCGUGGCCUAGCAGCAACAGCUCAUCGUCAUCUCUCAUAUCUCAUCCGUGGAAGCAUGUAUGGAUGUGUUCAAGUGAUGGAUGCGUGUCUCAAGCCCUCCAACUACCAUCAGAAUCUCUAUAACAAGCAUAACAACGUGGUUAGGUCUCACGAAAUCAGGUGAUCUGAAAAUAACUGCUUGUAUCAGUGGAAGGCAUGUGACAUCUUGCCAAGAUAAACUGUCAACUACCGAGCAAAGGAAGCUUUCUAGGAAUUCAUAGGGUGGCCAGUGGACUGCUACCUUAAUUUUUUUCCUCUCGAGUUCUAAUGUUAUCGGACAAGUUAUUUAACCCAUUCAUCUAAUUACAACUUCGCAAGUUUACAAAAAACAAUGUCGAGACAAAUUGUCGAGUGCCGAGCAAAGGGAGUUUUGAAGCAUAUUCAUAUGGUGGCCACUGGACUAUAUUUAUUUUUUCGAUGGGAGUUCAAAUGUAUGUGUCCAUUGCCUAUUAUAUUAUUGUUACUGUGUUCCCAGGUUACAAACUGAAUGUGCUUUCAAAUUGGAAACCCAAUGCGACUUGAAAAACUUCUAAAUAGACUUUUAUUUGCUAAAUUUUUAUUAGUUUUAGUUUUUUUUCAGCAACUAUGGAAUGCCACCAUGUUUUAGUUGUGUUCUUUGUACAUUUACCAGUGGUUCAGAUGAUAGUUCAGAACAAUCUCAAUGGUAGAGAUUGAAUCACUAUUUGCACAAUUUAGGACACAGGAUUUUGAACAUAGUUUUAGUUCUUUGAUCCAGUUAAUUAUUUCUCAGCUGCCAGACGGAUAUAUUAGGCUUCACAUUUUGUAGAUUUGUGCAGGUUGUCGUACAACUUAUUUCAUCCAUUCAUCUAAUCACAACUUCGCAUUCACAGAAAACAUUGAGUCCCUUACAAUCAGUUUGCCCCGAGGACAGAUGUUGUUGUGAUGUCUCAGGUAAAUGAAUGGAUUCCCUAAAACAUUGUGCGAAUGAACUAUAUUGAUUGCUAAGUGUAUCCCGGAACUUCAAAAGCAAGAAUUUGGCUGAACUGAGAUUAAUCCGAAGUGAAAAGAGAGAUAAACACAGCUGCACAGCUGUGCUGCAACCUUCCCAAGUCUUCGGUUAAUUGAGACAAUGGAUAGAUAUCCCUAUGGUCAUGUAAUUCGUGCUGUCAAUAUGGUAUAUAUCUCUUCGCAGUUCCACUGUGUCCUCUCCAAGUGUUUGAUUAAUUGAGACUAUGGAUUACGUGGCCAGUAGCUACUACAUGGUUGAUAUUGCGCUUCGGGCUGAAUGUGCAACCAUACCCUAACAUUUAUGUGUAUUCUCAUAUUUGCUUCUUUUGUGGGCUUUCUACGUCCUAGCGCAGGAGCGGUACGACCAGAACAUGUUGCCAAGCUUUGCGCCCUACUACCUUAGUCACUGUUGUUGCAUAUCAUAUCAACCGCGCCAAGCCUAUAUAGCUACCAGAUACUCUACGGCCCUUUUAAUGGCAUUGUCCCGACUAGCAAUAGUUCAGUGACAUGACCAUCCAAUCAUCCAGUGACUGGAUUUCUUCAAGAUUUUCAUCUGAUGAAAAGCCUCCUCAGUGGUCGAGUUAUCUUUGCCACAUUGGUGCCAUCAUGUGUGAUUAGCAACGAUGGAGAGUACCCUAUCUAGCCGACAAUAUCAUGUGACUAACUUUUUUGGCAGCGGUGUUUACAAGAUUUUUACCUGAGAUGAAUACGACGAUAUGCUUGAGUAUUGUGCAUGCUUUCUAUGCAUGGUAGUGGUUGAAUUUUUAAUUUUGGAGCCAACUAGAUUAGUGUCAAGCGAUAGUGUAUGCCCUCAAUCAUGCAAGUCAAAAAACUCAUGCAAGUGAUCGACCAAAUGGAGGUUAUUUUUACUAAGAUGUGCAUUGGGUAUAUGCAGUACAU